rnacentral:rRNA from 1 species
GAUAAGAUUUCCCACCGCAAGGGUAAGACCCCAGAAAGACUAUCUGGUUGAUAGGUCGAAGGUGUAAGUGCAGCAAUGUAUUUAGCUUAUCGAUACUAAUAGGUCGAGGACUUGACCAAUAUCAUU